CGAGUGAGCGGCAGAGCUCAGAUUUGAAAUCGUGCUUUGCGGCACGAGUUGUAGAUUGCAGGUUGGAGUCUGUGUGGAAGGCGGUGUCCAAGUCCCUUGGAACAGGGCGCCCAGGAGGGUGAGAGCCCCGUGGGAUGCCGGCGGAAGCAGUGAGGCCCUUCUGACGAGUCGAGUUGUUUGGGAAUGCAGCUCCAAGCGGGUGGUAAAUUCCAUCUAAGGCUAAAUACUGGCGAGAGACCGAUAGCGAACAAGUACUGUGAAGGAAAGAUGAAAAGCACUUUGAAAAGAGAGUGAAACAGCACGUGAAAUUGUUGAAAGGGAAGGGUAUUGCGCCCGACAUGGGGAUUGCGCACCGCUGCCUCUCGUGGGCGGCGCUCUGGGCUUUCCCUGGGCCAGCAUCGGUUCUUGCUGCAGGAGAAGGGGUUCUGGAACGUGGCUCUUCGGAGUGUUAUAGCCAGGGCCAGAUGCUGCGUGCGGGGACCGAGGACUGCGGCCGUGUAGGUCACGGAUGCUGGCAGAACGGCGCAACACCGCCCG
rnacentral:rRNA from 1 species